rnacentral:rRNA from 1 species
UGCGGUUAGACCUUACCUUAUAUUUCUAAUCAAUCUUAAUUUAAAUUAAAUUGGACCUAGUCAACAUUUAUGUUGUAAUUGAAAUAAUGAUUAAAUCCAAUGUGAAACACUUUAAACCGCCAACUAUAAAAUAGGAUUAGACCCCUAGUAUAGGCGAAUUAAAUUAUUUUAAGGACUAAAUAAAAACUUAUUAAAUUUAACCAGUAUGGCGGCGUUUUACCCCAGGUAGGGGAGUUUGGCCUUUAAUUUGAUAAUCCCCACUCAAUCUCACCCCGGUUUUUCUUGUGUGUGGUUGUUUAAUGUAGCCCACAUGGGCGUUUUUUAGUUCAAAUUACACGCCGAUAUAACGAGGGAGCGCUGAACUACUAUAACAAUAUUAAUAAAUCCCCACGCAUAAUAUAGGACUUACUAGUAAAACAACAAACAGUUUUGAAAUGGUAUUAAAAUGUGUACAAAUCGUCCGUCGUUCUCAGCAAU